AGAGUUUGAUCCUGGCUCAGGACGAACGCUGGCGGCGUGCCUAAUACAUGCAAGUCGAGCGGACAGAUGGGAGCUUGCUCCCUGAUGUUAGCGGCGGACGGGUGAGUAACACGUGGGUAACCUGCCUGUAAGACUGGGAUAACUCCGGGAAACCGGGGCUAAUACCGGAUGGUUGUUUGAACCGCAUGGUUCAAACAUAAAAGGUGGCUUCGGCUACCACUUACAGAUGGACCCGCGGCGCAUUAGCUAGUUGGUGAGGUAACGGCUCACCAAGGCAACGAUGCGUAGCCGACCUGAGAGGGUGAUCGGCCACACUGGGACUGAGACACGGCCCAGACUCCUACGGGAGGCAGCAGUAGGGAAUCUUCCGCAAUGGACGAAAGUCUGACGGAGCAACGCCGCGUGAGUGAUGAAGGUUUUCGGAUCGUAAAGCUCUGUUGUUAGGGAAGAACAAGUACCGUUCGAAUAGGGCGGUACCUUGACGGUACCUAACCAGAAAGCCACGGCUAACUACGUGCCAGCAGCCGCGGUAAUACGUAGGUGGCAAGCGUUGUCCGGAAUUAUUGGGCGUAAAGGGCUCGCAGGCGGUUUCUUAAGUCUGAUGUGAAAGCCCCCGGCUCAACCGGGGAGGGUCAUUGGAAACUGGGGAACUUGAGUGCAGAAGAGGAGAGUGGAAUUCCACGUGUAGCGGUGAAAUGCGUAGAGAUGUGGAGGAACACCAGUGGCGAAGGCGACUCUCUGGUCUGUAACUGACGCUGAGGAGCGAAAGCGUGGGGAGCGAACAGGAUUAGAUACCCUGGUAGUCCACGCCGUAAACGAUGAGUGCUAAGUGUUAGGGGGUUUCCGCCCCUUAGUGCUGCAGCUAACGCAUUAAGCACUCCGCCUGGGGAGUACGGUCGCAAGACUGAAACUCAAAGGAAUUGACGGGGGCCCGCACAAGCGGUGGAGCAUGUGGUUUAAUUCGAAGCAACGCGAAGAACCUUACCAGGUCUUGACAUCCUCUGACAAUCCUAGAGAUAGGACGUCCCCUUCGGGGGCAGAGUGACAGGUGGUGCAUGGUUGUCGUCAGCUCGUGUCGUGAGAUGUUGGGUUAAGUCCCGCAACGAGCGCAACCCUUGAUCUUAGUUGCCAGCAUUCAGUUGGGCACUCUAAGGUGACUGCCGGUGACAAACCGGAGGAAGGUGGGGAUGACGUCAAAUCAUCAUGCCCCUUAUGACCUGGGCUACACACGUGCUACAAUGGACAGAACAAAGGGCAGCGAAACCGCGAGGUUAAGCCAAUCCCACAAAUCUGUUCUCAGUCCGGAUCGCAGUCUGCAACUCGACUGCGUGAAGCUGGAAUCGCUAGUAAUCGCGGAUCAGCAUGCCGCGGUGAAUACGUUACCGGGCCUUGUACACACCGCCCGUCACACCACGAGAGUUUGUAACACCCGAAGUCGGUGAGGUAACCUUUUAGGAGCCAGCCGCCGAAGGUGGGACAGAUGAUUGGGGUGAAGUCGAAACAAGGUA
rnacentral:rRNA from 1 species